rnacentral:misc_RNA from 1 species
UCUCCGUAGGUGAACCUGCGGAGGGAUCAUUACAAGUGACCCCGGUCUUACCACCGGGAUGUUCAUAACCCUUUGUUGUCCGACUCUGUUGCCUCCGGGGCGACCCUGCCUUCGGGCGGGGGCUCCGGGUGGACACUUCAAACUCUUGCGUAACUUUACAGUCUGAGUAAACUUAAUUAAUAAAUUAAAACUUUUAACAACGGAUCUCUUGGUUCUG